rnacentral:misc_RNA from 1 species
GAUCAAAAGAGGGAUUACAAAAUCUAUAUAACUCAAAGCGAUAUGAUUGAACCGAUAGUUUCAUAUAGGCAUUGACGUCUAUGAGCAUUUGGAAUUUAUAUCAACCAAAUGGACGCUGUAAAAAUCACUUUGCAAGGAAUUUUGACUCCUUAGUAUUUAGCAUUUGAACUGUUUUUUUGCCAUUAAUUUGCUUUAACUUUGGAUUACUCACACAAAAGCAAUAAGCCUGCCAAUUUUGAUAAGCUUUUUAGAAGCAAUCUUUUUAGAAGUACUUAUUUUUUAAAAGCACUUAUGAAAGUAAUGGAUAAACUGGUGGGCCUGGGAGGACUUGAACCUCCGACCUCACGCUUAUCAAGCGCGCGCUCUAACCAACUGAGCUACAAGCCCUCCGGGAUAAACCGGAAAACCUUCCCCGGCAUCCUCUUAUAAAACGCUUAAAUUUUAUCAAGGAAAGCGUUUUCAAAGCCCACGGGGAC